rnacentral:lncRNA from 10 species
CGCGCGCCACCGGGGCACCGCCCCGCCUACUCCGAGCCCCGACCCGGCCCGCGGCGAGCGUCCGGGGAAGGAAUCCCCCGGCACCUGGGCCCAGCACCGACACUCGCGGCUGCGGCAGAGGGCUUCUUCCCGGCGGGGAGCGCGCCCCUCUCUGGGCGGAGUGCAGGAAUCCCGGGGCCGGCGCCUCUCUGGCGGAGCUGGGGGAGGGGAACCACCUGGAGCCUGGAGGGCGUGCGAGGGCGAGGUGAGCUGCCCUGCGCGGGAGGACUGACGUUGGAGGGUGAGAAGUAUGGUUGCUGCCUUGGAGUGAGGAGCCCGAGAUGGCUCUCUGUGCCCUGGAGAGGGAUGGCUGGAGAGGUGGGGACACCCGUUCCCACUGAGCCAAGUCUUUCUCUUUGGCAUCAUCAAAGAUCAAGCAGAAGAACAAGAGACCUGGUGAAUCCCAUCACCAGACAGCCACCAGCCUGCCUGUGCUCACCAGGAGAGGUGAUUUAACUUGCUGUCCCUCGGGGCAUAUCAUGGGUGAAGCUUGGAGCAUCUCCAUCUAGGGGGAUGCCAGGGGGCCUUUUGUAAGGAUUAGCUUGUGUGCAUGGCUUUAGGUGGGCCUUGCAAUGUGCAAGAUGCUUAGGUAGGUUGGGCAAGGUGGGGAAUGCAUUAACUGCGGGACUAUUCCCUUUGUAGCCAGAAGAAUCUUUUCUGUGGUUUUCCUUGGCUGUGGGUGGUAGCUGUGGUAUGGGAACCAAGAUCUUGCCUAAUGACUAUAUGUGUCACAGGGCCCAUCACUGGCUUCUCAGAAUUAACUUGUUAUGUGUUUUAUUUCAUGUAUGUCUAAGCACCUGCUAAAAUCAUCUUUUUAUUCCUCAGUCAUGGCAUAUUCCACACAUGGUGCACAUACCAGUUUUCAAAGCACGGAUCUGUUCUAACAUCGGCUGACACAUACAUUUUCCUCCUUAACAUUCCCCAAGUGCAGUUGUUUGCCUUUGCCUUGAACAUUUCAGUGAAAGGGAAUGCAGUGCUGGAAAAAGCCGUCAGCACGCUGCUGAAGGUCUCCCAGCGCUGGAAGGCCUUUUCAAGCGGUGCUUCUAGCUCUUUGUCUCCUGCAGGUUUUGUUCUUGUUCUUCUAGUUCUCUCCUCUGCAGUUAUGCAGGGGGUUACUGACGUGACCUUUUCUCGGCUCCCAGGACGUUACAUACUUUAUUAAAAAAUAUGAGUGAUCACGAGGUCAAGAGAUGAAGACUAAGGAAGGAGACCACUACUACUCCUGCUGCCCUCCUCCCCCCACCUUGCCUAGUUCACAAGACAGGAGUAAAGAGAAAAAGAAACAAAAGUAAGAUAAAUAGCCAGACAACCUUGGCACCACCACCCGGCCCUAGGAGUUAAACAAAGUAAUAAUAAUAACAUCAACCCCUGGCCUAAACUACUUGUGUUAUCUGUAAAUUCCAGACACUGUAUGAAAAAAGCAUUGUAAAACUUUUUGUUCUGUUAGCUGAUGCAUGUAGCCCCCCCGUCACGUUUCCCACGCUUGCUCGAUUUAUCACGACCCUUUUAUGUGGACCCCCUAAAGUUGCAAGCCUUUAAAAAGGCCAAGUAUUUCUUUCUCGGGGAGCUCGGUUCUUAAGACGCGAGUCUGCCAACGCUCCCGGCCGAAUAAAAAACCUCUUCCUUCUUUACUCCGGUGUCUGAGGAGUUUUGUCUGUGGCUCGUCCUGCUACAAGACCAUCCUGGCCAACAUGGUGAAAUCCUAUCUCUACUAAAAAUACAAAAAUUAUCUGAGCAUGUGGCAUGGGCCUGUAGUCCCAGCUACUUGGGAGGCUGAGGCAGGAGAAUUGCUUGAACCCAAGAGGCAGACGCUGCAGUGAGUCCAGAUUGCGCCACUGCACUCCAGUCUGGUGACAGAGCCAGACUCCAUCUCAAAUAUAUAUAUCUAUAUAUAUAUGAGUGAGCAGUGAGUUGACACUUAGAACUGCCCCCAUCCCCAGCUUGUCCCUGGCUGCUCUGAACAAUUCCUCAAUGUUUCUAUGUAGAUCCUGCCACCGUUGCCUCCCCGGUCUCCAUGCAAGUGUUCUGUCCUCUUGGCAUCCUGUGUGCACUCAGAUCAGAGAGACAGAAUGGACAGGCAGUG